GAUGAGCGCUGGCGGCGUGCCUAAUACAUGCAAGUCGAGCGAACGGACGAGAAGCUUGCUUCUCUGAUGUUAGCGGCGGACGGGUGAGUAACACGUGGAUAACCUCCCUAUCAGACUGGGAUCACUUCGGGAAACCGGCGCUUAUACCGUAUAAUAUUUUGAACCGCAUGGUUCAAAAGUGAAAGACGGUCUUGCUGUCACUUCUCGCUGCAUCCGCGCUGCAUUAGCUAGUUGGUAAGGUAACGGCUUACCAAGGCAACGAUGCAUAGCCGACCCGAGAGAGUGAUCGGCCACACUGGAAGUGAGACACGGUCAAGACUCCUACGGGAGGCAGCAGUAGGGAAUCUUCCGCAAUGGGCGAAAGCAUGACGGAGCAACGGCGCGUGAGUGAUGAAGGUCUUCGGAUCGUAAAACUCUGUUAUGAGGGAAGAACAUAUGUGUAAGUAACUGUGCACAUCGUGACGGUACCUAAUCAGAAAGCCACGGCUAACUACGUG
rnacentral:rRNA from 1 species